GACGAACGCUGGCGGCGUGCUUAACACAUGCAAGUCGAACGGAAAGGCCCUGCUUUUGUGGGGUGCUCGAGUGGCGAACGGGUGAGUGACACGUGAGUAACCUGCCCUUGACUUUGGGAUAACUUCAGGAAACUGGGGCUAAUACCGGAUAGGAGCUCCUGCUGCAUGGUGGGGGUUGGAAAGUUUCGGCGGUUGGGGAUGGACUCGCGGCUUAUCAGCUUGUUGGUGGGGUAGUGGCUUACCAAGGCUUUGACGGGUAGCCGGCCUGAGAGGGUGACCGGCCACAUUGGGACUGAGGUACGGCCCAGACUCCUACGGGAGGCAGCAGUGGGGAAUAUUGCACAAUGGGCGGAAGCCUGAUGCAGCAACGCCGCGUGCGGGAUGACGGCCUUCGGGUUGUAAACCGCUUUCGCCUGUGACGAAGCGUGAGUGACGGUAAUGGGUAAAGAAGCACCGGCUAACUACGUG
rnacentral:rRNA from 1 species